rnacentral:rRNA from 1 species
AGCGAACGCUGGCGGCAGGCUUAACACAUGCAAGUCGAGCGGGCACUUUCGGGUGUCAGCGGCGGACGGGUGAGUAACGCGUGGGAACGUGCCCUCUGGUUCGGAAUAACUCAGGGAAACUUGAGCUAAUACCGGAUACGCCCUUUUGGGGAAAGGCUUGCUGCCGGAGGAGCGGCCCGCGUCUGAUUAGCUAGUUGGUGAGGUAACGGCUCACCAAGGCGACGAUCAGUAGCUGGUCUGAGAGGAUGAUCAGCCACACUGGGACUGAGACACGGCCCAGACUCCUACGGGAGGCAGCAGUGGGGAAUAUUGGACAAUGGGCGCAAGCCUGAUCCAGCCAUGCCGCGUGAGUGAUGAAGGCCUUAGGGUUGUAAAGCUCUUUUAUCCGGGACGAUAAUGACGGUACCGGAGGAAUAAGCCCCGGCUAACUUCGUG